rnacentral:rRNA from 1 species
UACGUAGGGUGCAAGCGUUGUCCGGAAUUAUUGGGCGUAAAGAGCUCGUAGGCGGUUAGUCGCGUCUGCUGUGAAAACUCGGGGCUUAACCCUGGGCCUGCAGUGGGUACGGGCUGACUAGAGUGCGGUAGGGGAGUCUGGAAUUCCUGGUGUAGCGGUGAAAUGCGCAGAGUAUCAGGAGGAACACCGGUGGCGAAGGCGGGACUCUGGGCCGAUACUGACGCUGAGGAGCGAAAGCGUGGGGAGCAAACAGG